UGUCCCUACAAUUCCUUGAAGGCUGUGUAAGUUUGGAUGGAGAUUUCCCAACCAGUGAGUUCAGCUACAACCAGAAGUACUAGGAGACAUGUGCUGACCUUGUCUAUACAGAAAUGGCCCCAUGAGCAGCAGGGGACCCAGGAAGCUAGAGGGCAACAAGAUUUUCUCUGAAGAACAUGUAACUUUCUUACAUAGGAAUCAAGUAUCUCUACACUAUAGUGCAGAAAGAAGUGCAGAUGGUGGGGAGUGGUGCCAGCUAAGGCGACACUUCAGCUCACACAGCCUGGUCACAGUCACACAGCUGUGCAGAACCCUCCAUCCAGAAGGCAUCAGGAUCUAGCCCUGAGAGAGUCGAAGCCAGAUAUCAGGAUUUUUUCAUGCUAAGAACAAAAAAGGGGGAGAAUUGGUCACAAUUUUCUUCUU
rnacentral:lncRNA from 1 species